ACGUCUUGAUAGAAAGUGAUUAACCGGAAGUCUACAGGAACCAAACUACAACCUGCAUCAAUUUGAAGAGAUAGCUGCAGUUUUAUUUAUUUUUUUAAACCAUUCGCUGGUUAGUUAGCUCGUUUUUUGCUAUCCUUUUUGUUGUUGUUGGUAUUAUGCCUAAAUGAUGAAAUAGCGCAGCUGAACUCUUGAGUAUUAGCAAAUAUUCUCUGACUGAAAUCUGUGGAGCUGAUCUGCUGCAUGUUUAUUUAAUCUGCCUCGUUUUUCAUCUGAUACUGAGCAUGCCUGCUCCUUACCUUGAACAAAUUAGAAGAGCCAAGGAGUGGCAGGAUGCCAAAGUUACUUCCACUAUUACACCCACCUUGAAGAAGAUAUGCAUCAAAACAGUGAGUCGUCACAUGGAUGUACUAGACAAGAAAGCUCUUGACCUACCAAUCUCACUGAUCAAGGAGCUCCUGCAGCAUUUAAACAUUGUUGAUCUGGAUAGAAUUCAGCCUGCAGUGAACCGGAAAGGAAUCUCCACCUCCUUUGUGUGGGCAGGAAUAUUGAGAAGAAUCUCUGGGCCUCGCAAAGGGAGUACCAUACUCACCGAAGAUGAAUGGAGGGAGAUAAGCAUGCAUAAGCUCUUUAACUUGGCCUUCUAUGGCUUCAGGUUCGGAGGUGAUACAAAAUACCUCCUGAAUGUCGACUUUAACUCCCUUCUCUUAGUCAUGGCCAAAUACAUCCAGCACCUGGUUCUUCGAACAUCACGACCACACGGCUACUUCUUCGCGAGGAGGUCCGUUCUGAGCGUUCUGGAGAAGGGUGUAAGGUGCAUUCAACUGGGAGAGAGCACUCAGCUCAGAGAGUGGCCCAGUGAUGUCUUAUACACCCUGCACCGUUUACUGGACCACGGGGCAGCCCGUGAUGUCAUCAUAAACCAGAGCCCAGAUCCUCGUCUGCUGGCUUGGAUUCUUCAUGGCAGGGGACCUCGGAGUAAAAGCCACCAAUGUCCAAUGGAGUCCAUGCAAGGUGAGAUGGUCAAAUGUUGCCAGAUGCCAAACACUGCAGGAAGCAGCGCUGGAGAUGCUGAGGCAGCCAACUGCCAGGUCCCAGAGGAAGAGGAGCCUGAUGAAGAAGAUAAUAAUGGUGGGACCCCAUGCAAGCGUCCAAGGUUGAGUAUUGCCUCUGCGAAGGCAGAGCUUGACUUGACCAGCACUCCAUGCCAAUGUAUGGUCCCCAAGCCAUUGUGCCAGAUGUUUAUACCCUCGGCUGGUCACUCGACAGAGAUUUGCCACAAGGGGCAAAUCCAUUCACUAAAGAUCAAUGACUUCCGGGGUGGAGUCUUCCCUGUACUGCUUCCUCUCCUGCCUUCUUGGCUGUGCCUCCACUCUCUAAGCCUGCAAAGUGCUUGGACCUUUGAGGAGGGUGAUGCGUUGAGCCUGGCAGAGUCUCUCCAGCAGCUGUCUGCUACACCAGGCUGCUCCCUGAUUGAGCUGAGUGUGGGGUCCCUGACCCAUCCUGCUCUCAUGGAGUCCCUGCUGAAUGCAUGCCCCACCCUCAGGUCAUUCUCCAUGGAGAUCCACCCUGUAGCAGAGUACCACAGAGCCCCACUGAGAAGCAUUCCCCAGCCUGCACACCAUGCAGAACUCUCACUGGAGAAGCUGUGUGUGAAAGUACCCAAAUUGAGGACCAGUGUGGAGAGUCUGAUGUGUGUGUUGCUACGCUCUCCUCGCCUCACCUCACUUCACGUCUCAGGAAUCAAUAGCUCAACUGGCUUCUCACCCAGCCACCUCCUCAACACAGUGGCAGAGUCCAAUCGCCACCUGAAGGACCUCACCUUGGAGGAUAUCAACCUGUCUGAUUGUCACGCUGCAAUCUUCCAGCUACUGGAUAACUACUGUAUGUUGGAAGGACUGUCGGCUUCUGGAGAAAUGCAGUGACAAGGAAGAUGUCGUCCGACAGCUGGUUAAUUCUCUCAAAAAGGUUCCAUCUCUCCAGUCUCUCAACCUGGCUCAAAACCGCCUCGCCAAGACUGUGACAGUUUUGGGGGAACUCUUCAAAGGACCCUCACCAAGCACAGUGAAAGAGCUGGACAUCAGGCAAGUAGCUGCUAUAAGCAUUUCAGUAGGCUAUUUUGGCAUUUUGUGAAGAGGCCUAAUUUGUCUUAUAAGAGUUGGACUCUGUCCCUAUUCUCCACACUUCCCCCAAAGUGUGCGCAAGCAAACUCCCCGUCAUGGAUUGGUGUAAGCAACCACUGUUAAAUCCAUGAUGUAGAGUGUACAACUGCAGACUUUGAGAGAAGGGUGGCAAAUUGGAACGUAGCCAUUCUGUUUCUUGUAUUUCCUGUCUUUGUCGUUGAUAGCUCCAACUUCAUCCAGCCUCCUGAGCUGCUAGAGUUAGGGAAGUUGUUGGAGACCCACCGUCCUCCCCAGAGACUACUCCUCACCCUGAAGAGCAACCCACUGGACAGAAACAUGGAGCUGAGGGACACGGCUCUGGGCACGCUCAGUCACCUUUGUGACCUCAUCACCGACCACUGGAACUCCAGGGACACCAUGGCUGACCACAUCAGCAUCAUGUGAACUAGGUCUUAGGUCAUGCGAAUGGAGUAGGGUGAAGUUGCCUCUAGGUGCUGAUCUUGGGACAGUUUUGUGAGGAAGAGGAAGCUGUUCCUAGACCUCUAGAUAGGGGAACCUUCACCUCGUAAUCCUGCAAAUUCUGGGUUGUGUUCAUUAGUAACACUAAAACGUUUUGCAAUGGAAAAAAAUAUGAGCAUUGUUUAUUAGACAAGAACAGAUAGUACUUCCCUGUUUCACUCCAGUUCGGACCAACUGAACAUGACCCUGGAUAAAAUGUUGUUCCUUAACCUGAAGUGAACAAACAUUUGCUGCUACCCAAGAGAAGUUCCUGGAAAUCGAAAUUGCUUCAGUUUUAAGUCUUUUGUAAGGAACUUUUGUAAGGAACAAUAUUUUCCAGUUUACAACACAUAUAUAUGUUGCUGUUUUGUAUGACAAGGCUGUUGCAGGCCUAAUAAGCCAAAAACAAUGUGUUACAUAAAUACACGUGGCCUUAUAUUUGGCAUUUUAAAUUGUGAAAUAAUGGCAUAAGAGCUUAUUCAGCAUAUUUAUUGUUAAUAUAUUGUCAUGUUUGUAAUGCAGCAUCUGCAGCCCUUAAAAAUCAUGUUUGUUGUUUUUUGGGUCAUUGACCUAGAACAGGGAUAGGCAACUGCGGAUCAGUUGCUGAGUCACUCAAUUAGCCGAUGUCAUCAAAACAUUUUUAGAUUUCUGGCUAGACUAACUUACCAAUCUAAUCAUGGUCAAAUUACUGACCGGGGGGACCCCAUUUGAUUUUGUAACUUGCAGUCUGAUAUCAUAUUAAAACUGCAAACAUUUGUGAUGGAAAGUUGUAUUGUUUGUGCUUUUCUAAUAACCAAUUUCUGUCUUCGAUGUUUGUGCUUUUCUAAUAACCAAUUUCUGUGUUCGAUGUUUGUGCUUUUCUAAUAACCAAUUUCUGAGUUCAUGCAAGUAAGUGACUGAACGAAUCCUCACCAUCAGUAUCUGCAAUUUGGAGGUACGCUCAGAACCUUGUUUUGAGAAAUUUUCAAGGUCUCAGCUUGGAGAAAAUAAGCCUUGUAAGGUAUUGGUCUGUCCCAUGCAUGAACCAAACAUUAAUUAUGAAUUUAUUAUGAAUAAGCUAAAUCAUGCAAUUAUAAUUUGUAAGCAGUAUAAAAGAGAUCUAACGGGACUGCCCCGAUAGAGUUCCGUUAAGACCGGUACUUUAUGCAUCUACAUUUGACUGUGACCUCUCCAGCUUCCUGUUAAUAAACAAUGAUUCAUUUAAGA